CGGAGAAGCGGAGCGCGCCCGUGCGAAGCACUGGGUGGCUCCAGCUCCGCCACUGCGCGCGCUCCAGCGCCCCAGAAGGCAGGGGGCAGCCCGGGGACCGGGGUCCCGGAGCCCCGUGGGAGGCGGGCAACACCUGUCGGGACCCGAGGGCGUGUCUGAGAUUGUGGCCUGAGGUGCUGCGCCUUCCGAUCCGGGGCAGCGGGCGUCCUGUAGCUGCGCCUUCCGAAUCCAGCCCAGAUUCUCCUACCAGCUGCUUGGGUCACGUCGGUGGAACUCCUAAAGGGAUGCCUUCAAAAUGUGUGAAUAAGCUUCAAUCAGACUGCCCUUCCCAAAGAAAAUAACUAUAAAUGCUGGAAAAACUACAAAACAGCCACCUGAAGGCACUGGCGAGAGACAAAAGCAAGCAAAUUCUGGAGAAGAGUCAACACUUGGAAGAAGGGAGCUGCACUGGGUACAUGGGGAAGGAACAGUGUCUCUGCAUGAGAAUGGCCAAAGAACAAGAUACAUUUCCCCGUGGAGAGCAAUCCUAGAGAGAGGGAAGCAUGGGUCAGAAUAAGGUGUACUGGCCCCAGGGUAAUAGCAUGUAUUUCUGUUGCAUUGGUGUUUCCAAAAUAAUGCUUCGGUUCCAAGUUUCAGGAAUUGGUUGGGGGAGCAUGGGGAUCAUACAGUGAUUCAGGAGCUUCCUUGCAAGUAAGUGAGUGAGCCAAUCAAAUAAUUUAUGUUUAAAUCUUUCACUGUGUUAAAUGUUGAAAAAUAAAGCAAGUGAAUUCCAUCCUA
rnacentral:lncRNA from 1 species